GCUUAUGACUCAUCUUCCUGAAUCCCAAAUACAAUCUGAAUUCACUUUGCUACUGCAAUGUAUAGGUAGAAGGUCGUGAGAGGUGACGAUGGUUAAUCUACGAGCCAAAGAAGCUGCAGCACGCCCUCAGCACUAAGCUUAGAGGGAUUGGAUCAAGAGAGAAAUUCCAUCACCAUAAAAAUUAGGAAGUAAGUCUUCUGGAGCGAGCAACAAGGAAGCAUGACCUUGCAUGAUAAAAAUUUAAUGUAUUAAGGAUUAUAUGUUAAGACAUAUUAUUGAAAAAUUUUACUUUGAUACUUUAUUUUUGGAUUAUGAAUUUUCAAUUAUGACUUGGAUUAUGACUUUUGGAUCAUAUAUGAAUUAAAAAUCAUCUUAUCAUGUUUGAUU